CAAAUCUAAACAAAAACAUGAAUGAAAGUAAUAAAAUAAAAGGAAAAACUAUUCAUCUCCUAAUUUGAUAAAGAAUAAUUGUAGUCUAUUAUUCCUUAAAUGUUAAAGAAUGUAAAUGAAUCAUAGGAACAAAUAUUCCUUGUAAAUGGUAUAAAUUGUAAGCAAUGAUAAAGAAUUCACUAUUUACACUCAUUUCCUUGGUCUCCAUUUAGAGCCCAAAAUUAACAAAAGUCGUAAACCUUUCACCUUCGCCUUCAAAUCAUGAAGAAUAGCGACUUUCAUAUCUAGGGUUCAUCAUCCUUAUUCAAUCUCUGACAAUGGAAUUCCAGGAUGGUGUGUGAGCUCGCUGGGUCGAGCUUCAUUAGCGUCGUUUGGUAAGGUUCUUCUCCUCUGAAACGUAACGGGAUCCAUUGAGGUCGCCAUUAACAAUGGAGUUUCUAGAGUUUGGGUGACUCGAAUCGACGCGAGGAAUCUAUACGUUGGUCUGCAAACGGUCCACUUAUUCCAUAAUUUCUCAUUCAACGAAUCUACCUUUUCUUUAAGUCGGUGAAUCUGCUGCUAUAAAUAGCACAACCGAAGUUUAUCUACUUAGAUUCUGGGAGGCAGAGCCGCUUACGCAAGCACCAACACCGGCUGAGGAAUGUAAACAGAGGCUGCCAGCUAACAUACUCCUCAUGGACGUACAUGUAAUUCCGAUGAACAAAAAUAUCAAUCGGUUUAUUUUUUGAAGAUAUAUGAGUUUUACAAUUCAGAAUACUUUUAUGAAAGCCAGCGUCAAAGUCCACCGUUUGAAUACCUUCAAACAUUUUUUCAAGGCCUGUUCGAUUUACGGGGUGAGCAGGUUCGACGUGACGCCGAGCAACCUCAACUCAAAACUGUCCAACUCUCCUCCUUCAAUACGUUUCAGUGACUUGACUGACUUCACCGAAAUAACAGAACCUGUGAGCCCGGUACCUCAAGAGCUGUUCCAGUUCCGCGAUUACGAACAGCUCCAGCACAUCUUCCAGGUAUGGAAGUUGGGUAGUUUGCUACACAUAUGCAACAUGGUUUGCUCUUGGAGGCUUGGCAGUAACUGGUAAAAAAUAUGAAAACUAUUUGGCUAUGCGUGAAGGUGUUGACUUCCUUCUCAAGUAACAAAAUAUCAAUGGAGGUUGGGGAGAAAGCUAUUUGUCUUGCUCUGAAAAGAGAUACAUAGAGUUAGAAGGGAGAAAGAUCAAACCUGGUGCGAACCUCUUGGGCAUUGGUGGGUCUGAUUCAAACAGGACAGGUCGAGAAAGAUCUGUUGCCUCUUCAGCGCGUUGGAAAACUGAUCAUAAAAACAUAUGUUUUUGGUACUGGUGGUGUGCAGGAAAUGACAGGAGUGUUCAUGAAGAAUUAUAUUCUAAACUAUGUCACCUACAAGGAAAACAACAUAUGAACCUUUGAAGAAAUAACUCAGUGAAAGCAAGGAAUUGUAUUGGCAGAAACUAAGAAUUUUGUUCCGAUAACUCAUUCUCCUUUUUUUCUCUUUUUUGUGCAACAUCAUUCUCUUUUUUCUGACUAUUACUGUCACACAGACAAGAUAUAGUUAGUCAAACAAUAACAAUCUACUUUCAUUA